rnacentral:lncRNA from 1 species
CCAUGGGACCUGCCACUGCUGCAAGGCCAGGGUCCUUAAUGGAAGCACUGGGCCUUUCUCCACAGGUGCUGACUCUGGGAACAACUCUGACCAGUCCAAGCUGGGAUGGGAGCCAGUCCCACUGCUUUUACCAGAUUCACGCAGACCGGCAUCAGAUUUGUUCUCCCCCUUUGACUUCCUCAUAUCCUUAGCUGUUUCCCUUUUUUUUUUUUUUCCCUAUUUCUCCUCCUCUGCUUGAGAAACAUCUGAGGCUGCCAUCUUCUGCAGAACUCCUGUAACUCUGAAACCAAAAAUGUCAGCCAAAAGCAGUAUCAUAAUUUGCAUCAGCAAAUUAGUUACAUUUCAGAGUAGGCAGGCAACGUGUGAGUCUUGUUCUUCUCUGAUGUACUGUAAUCAAGAGUAAGCACCAGAGGAACUUCAGUGUCCAUUUAUGUGUAUGCUGUUACUUUAUGUAUGUCUUUCUUUAGAAGGUAAGUUGAUGGAAAUUAGUUUAGAUGGCUGACAACGUAAAACAAUGCCAUACUUAAUACAAUCAAAGUGACUGCUAGUCUGGGGAAGAGAAGGAGGUACAGGAGAUAGUCCUUCUUCUAUAUUUGUCAUGACAUAUCAUGAAGGUUUUGUGUUUGUCAUGGACCUGAGAAAAUUGUUUUUGUUUUUGUUUUUGUUUUUUUUCAACCAUUAAGUACGCAGGAUAACUUUUUUAGCUUUCUAGGCUCAUUUAUUCCCUCCAAAUAAAUCAAACACUUCUUCCUUUCUUCCCUUUAUCUAAUUCUUUCUUACUCUUAAGCAGGUUACACUCACUGAUAUUUAACAGUUCUGACAGAGCACUGAGGGUUUUUUGCCUCUAACCCAAAUCCAGCUCAGUCCAAAUAAUGUGGUGAUGUUUUCUUGGGGUGAUUUUUUUUUUCAGCCAUCUUUUAUGUCUUUGCUACUGGAUGAGAUCAGUUUUGAAUUCUGCUUUAUUAUCAUAACAUUGUUUCCACUAUUUCAACAAAUGUUCCUCUUCAACAGUGAGAUCAAAAUUGAAGGUGUUAACAGGCUAAAAACAUUCUAAUCUCCUUAGAGAAAAGGAUUGAAAUGUGUAAAAUUUAUUACUCAGCAAAAGUGUCCUUCACUGUACAAUUUUCAGUUAUUUAAAAAGUGAAAGUUAGUAGCUACCAGCAAGUGUGUACAAAACCCCAUUAACACUCAACAGAAUCUCAUGCACAGAACUGCACAACUUGUUCACUGUACAAAUCUCUCCACCUCUAUGUCUUCAAGCAUGCAAUUCCCAAUAUACAUUCAAUUGUUUAGAAAAACAUCCACAAAUUAACUGCUACAUAAAAAAAAAAAAAAAAAAAUCUUACAAAUUCAGAAUUUGAGCCUCUUUCUGCCAUGGUGUUGAUUUUAUAUUGCUUGUAUUAUGGAAGAGACAUGAGGAGGAAAGCAUAAGAAAUCAUUUCUGUUAUGUAGCGGUGUAGUUAGAGUGAAGGCUGCUAAUAGGAAGUUUGCCUUUGUGUUUUGUUAAACAAAGUGUCACAGUAAUUUGGUAACCCCUCUGCCCAUUCUCUCACACUAGAAUAUCAUUUAUUUAAAUUAAAAAAAAAAAAUUGUCUACCCUUCUUAAGCAAACAAACUGGACACCAAGUAAAUAGUUCACAAAAUGGCAGUUCCUUCUGUUAACUGCAUGUUGAACAAAUAUGCCUUGCAGCACACUUUCUUUCUUCUCCAGGACAUCUCACGUGUGUUCAGUUUCCUCUUUUCAUUGGUUUCUGUGAAUGAUACUAAACACUGUUGCUCCCUUGAGUCACUACCUAGCACCAGUACCACGUUACUGAGGUCAAAAAUGCAUAAGGCAGGAAUAUGGUGAUACAAGAUGCAAGAAAUUGAAGUUUUCAUUAUAUACCUCUGACACUUGGCAUUGGAAAGUGGCAUUCAUCUUUCUUCUCUCACUCCCUGCAUGGUUUGAAUCAGACAAGGAUGUCAUACAGACUCAGGAGUUUUAGAAAACUGAUAGGAAGGGAAAGGGAAAAUGAGAGGAUAGUAGUGAUACAGAGAAGAAAUUGUGGGGGAAAAAAAACAUGAGUAAAGAAAUGGCAUGCAAAACCCAUCAACGUCAAGAAGUAUAUAUUAAAAAAGGACAAGGAGGAGACAGAAACAGAGAGUCUGACAGUGUCAGUAAUGAGGUGUGCAGUAUAAUUAUUAUUCUGCCACUAGAAAGGACUUGUGUGCCUUCUAGCAUAGGUGCAAACACUGGCACAGCUCCGUUGGUGGGGUGGCAAGAUGGUAUCAACUUCUCUUCUACUGAUGCAGUGGUACCGAGGGUUGUGCCACCAACCUCCAUCACCUGUGUUCUGUUCCUCCUCAUUUGUCUCUACUAUUCUGUAGAUGCUUGAAAAGACAGAAUUGAGUAAAUGAUGCAAAAACAUGACUGAGUCACAUGUAAAUUUGUGCUGGGAAAUUUGCCAGGUUGCUACGAGUAACACACUCUGCAAGGAGCAUCUGCUCAGUGACUGUCCUCCUCAGUUCCAGGACAUUCACUUGUACUCUAUAGAGACAUGGACAGUCCUUGCUGACGUGUGGGAUUAUGCCAACAGGCUCAGUGAUUCCCUUUCACAAAUACUGGACGUUUUGUACUUUUGUUUUCUCUUGCCAGCUCUGCAUGAUGAAAUAUCCAACUCCAUGUGAUAUCCAAAUAUCACGUGGAAAUCUAUGUCCUUGUAUGAUGACAAUUUCUGCAAGACUAAGGUGGAAUUUGAAUAAUGGCAGUGUAUUCAUAACAGGCUACAAUAUUAUGAUGUUCAUAUCACCGUAACUCAUACAGACUUUAUAAACACCACAAACGCACAAGAACACCCUGACUCUUAAAUACAUAUUUUAAAGCUAGUCACCAUUUUCAACACUUUAGAAACAAAUCUUCAGCAUUUCUUGCCUGGUAUCUCCCAGUGGCUGUAGAAUGUGGCACUUGUCAUUCUACACUCCCGCUAUGCAGGAUGGACUCGUUCUAAACCAACAAGUUCAUUCUACAAAGGUCUCUUUUUCCCUACAGAUAUCCCCGCAAUGAAAACAGUCUGGAAACAGCCCGCUAGUUCAACAGUUCCACAGUACCCACAGUCUGCUGCAUCAGAUAAAAAACAGUGAAUCUACUUCAAAGCCUGAGUAUUAAUCUCAGUUAGCUGGGUACAGGGCAAUUUCAUAGGAAGAGUGUUUUGUUCAGACAUAGAAUCAGGACAUUUUUGCCUCCUGGUCACACUUUUCCUGCAGAAGGGUAUUUUCCAGUAGACUGAAAGAAUGCUUCCUUUUGGCAAAGUGACAUGAUAUAUACCAACCCACAGACAUGCUGGUAGAGAUGUGUUUUCCAGUUCUUGCAUUUUCUUGUUCUUACGUUUUACCUUCUAUAUUUUCAGUUCUAGCUCUUUUUAUUGGACCUGUGAUCUUGACCUUUUGUCUUCUAUUUCAGAAGCCUAGCACAACAUGCUCACGUUCAGAAGGACAUUGUGACAUUUUAAACACGGUAUAUCCUCACAUAUCAUUUCACUGAAUGCUGCACCAUCACAUUAGCAUCUCACAAAUGGUUUACGAAAGCAAAGAGGUGGAAGAUGGAUGAUGCAGUAAUUGCUUGUAUUUCUUUCUAGUAGGUCACGGGUGUCCAACAUUUUGGCUUGCUUGGGCUGCACGGAGCCAAGAGGAAUUGUCUUGGGCCACACAGAAAGUAAUGCCUCCUAUUUAUUUCCAUGGAAACUAUGUCAGACGUAAAGAGCACAGUAACACUACUAGAUAGAGCAAAUUCUCAUUCUGUGCAAAAAUAUACGCUACUGUAGGCAAUACCAUUUGCAUGUUGUGCUCUUGAGGAAUCUGCUUGUAGCGCAUCAAAAUGUCUCGUGCUGCACAAUUUUAACACUGAAAAUCUAAAUGAAUGUACUAAUGGGCUGUUUAUGUAUUGCAUUGUGAUUUUCAAAUCACUGUUUAAAAGUAGGCCAUAAAAUCUUCAUUUUACUCAAGUAGUAGACUAUAUGAUGUAGGAAAAACAAUUACACACACACACAAAAAUCCCCUCUAGUUCUUUAACACACACAAUAUUGUCCUGUCCUUUUCCCAGCUCUGUAAAUUCCAUGACCUGCCACAGUGAUUUCCACUAGUAAAAUGAAGUAAAGCAAAGCUAAUUUUUCAUCUGAUGUAAAAUGAACAGUCAGUCUUCUAAGAUGAAUAAGUAUUGGAGAUGUCAUCAUUUUAACCACAUAGAAGUUUCUUACUGUUUACAUUGAUACAGCCAAUGUUGUUUUGAUACACAUAUUUACAUGAUUUUUUUUAAAUCUUUAAGAAAUAAAAAAGAUCUAACUCUUAAUUGUUAAUUAUCAUGUAAAUGAUUAAUAAGAUUAAACACAAUUGUAAACUUCAGAACUAUGUACAUAAGUGUCUGUUUUAAUAUCACUGAUGAUUUUCGCAUUGAAAUAAUCUACACAUUGUUUAGCAUUAUCACUACAGCCUCCAGGACUGUUUAAGAUUAUGCAGGGAAUGAAAGUAUUUGUCACGGGCAUCUCUGCAACUUGUAAAGUAAAUAUUCAUACUAAGUUCCAUGUUUCUAUAUACCCUUGCACUGUAUAUUCUGAUUAUGAAAACUGUUGGGAUUUUUUUGCUUUAUUCAGUGCUGUAGCCAUACAUCUGUGUAGUAUUUCCUGACUAAAUGACCGAUCAUACAGAGGAAGAUCAAAAUGAUCUUAUUUAUGAGUUUACAGUAUUUCAAUAAGCAGAAAAGAAACUAUUGGUUUAAGAUUUAUUAUACGACUGUUGAAUAUAGAAUUUGAGAAAUACGAUAAAAAUCCUUUGCUUAUUCAAAGUGAUACAGGUGUCAUGAAUGCUUUUGACUCUUCAGAGAAGACCAACAAAGACUGUGUACAGGAACAAAGAUUUUUUUAUUUACUAGGAUAGGUCUUAGGUGUUGGUUAAAAAAAACAUGUGUGUAGAAGAUUAUUUAUCUAUAGGAAGUGACCAGAAGAUGACUGUGCAAUGUUUAAAUAAAGAAAAAGAGAAAGCAAGAAUACUAAAAUAUAUUCUCUCAAAAAUAUUGUUAAAACGUACUAGGAAAAUGCAAUAAUGGAUGAUACUUAAUUGAAUAGGAUAGAGAAUGUAAUUGAGGGGCAUACAGAGAAAAAUUCUCAACACACUGUUAAUGCAAGAGAAAACCCAAUACAGUGUGGCUUUCACAGCCCUUGCUAGUACAGAUGUGGAACAGGACCAAGUGAAAUGUAAUUACAUAGAAGCAAAUUGAGUAAAUAUAUGAUUUCCUACUCCAUUUAUUAAGUUCAAAGAGAAAUUGGUAAUUGUUUUAUUAAGACAUGAAUUUCAUUGUUUUGAUUUUUUUCUUUUUUCAGUGGCACUAAACUAUUGUUUCUUGACUAUGACAAUGAAUAAAUACAAUAAAUGCUUGAUUUCUACUCCAGUUAGGAAUGGAAAAAAAAAAAUUCCAGUAACUGCCUAAAAAAUGAAACUGCAGACAAGGUCUGAGAAGAAUGGCUGGAAACACAGAUCAAGUAAUAAAAAUGAAAGAAAAACAAAAAGGAGAACAGAUACCUUUCAUUAAACAGCUAUGAAGUCAUGCAAUCAUAAUAGAGUUGCCAAAAAAAAAAAAAAAAAACCAAAAAAACCCAACUCAUCUACAAUCAUACGGGAAAUGCUAAAAAAUAAAAACGUAACAGAACACAAAAGAUCUGAGGACCACCAGAACAGAGUUCCAAACUCUAACUUUACUUCUAACCAAACAAGCCAUAAAACAAACAAACAAGUCAAGACUGUACAAUGGUUUAGAAGCACUUAUGACUUGCAAGCAGAUGCAGGUGUGUGCUCUCCUAGAUUUUUUACUUGUGAUCAGAGAAUGUCUAAUGGGUGAAGUAGUGUUUGGUAACUGUCUUUACCAUAUUGAUCACGGAGUGGUUGAAUUCACAUUUCUCAGUGAUAAGAGGAAAACUGCUACCAAAUACUCAACCCAUUAUAUGAGUAGAGCAGAUCUCAGCCCAUGGGCCGGACAUGCCUGUAGUAGGUGAAUUGUUUCUCUGAAACUCUAAGCCAUGGAUAUUUAAACAACUGAAGUGUCUCUAAGAGCAGUUUCUGCACUGGCUUUGUAGGCGUUUAGAUGCACGGAACGCACAGGAAGGAAUACCAUCCAGAGGGAUCUGGACAGGGUUUAGAAGUGGGCCCAAGGGAACCUAAUAAGGUUCAACAAGGUCAAGUGCAAGCUGUUGCAUUUGGGUCAGGGCAAUCCCAGAUAUGAAUACAGACCAAGACAAGAAAAGAAACUGAAAGCAGCCCUGGGGAGAAGGACCUGGGGGUUCUGAUGGAUGAAAAGUUGGACAUGAGCCAGCAGUGUGCGCUUGCAGCCUGGAAAGCCAACCGUAUCCUGGGCUGCAUCAGAAGAGGGGUGACCAGCAGGGAGAGGGAGAGCAUCGUCCCCCUCUGCUCUGCCUUCCUCGACCCCCAUCUGGAGCACUACACUCAGGCCUGGGGCCACCAGCGCAGGCGGGAUGUGGAGCUGUUGGAGCAGGUCCAGAACAGGACCACAAAGACGAUCAGUGGGCUGGAGCACCUCUCCUGUGAAGAAAGGCUGAGGGAGCUGGGCUUGUUUAGCUAGGAGAAGCCUCUGUGCAGACCUCACUGCGGCCUUCCAAUACUUGAGGGCAGCUUACAAGCACGAGAGGGACCGACUUUUCACACAGUAUGAUAGCGAUAGGACAAGGGGGAAUAGAUUUAAACUAGAAGAGGGGAAAUUCGGGUUAGGCUAGGAAGAUUUUAUUCACAGAGGGCUGAGGCGCUGGCACAGCUGCCCAGGGAAGCUGUGGUGCCCCAUCCCUGGAGGCGCUCAAGGCCAGGUUGAAUGGGGCCCUGGGCAGCUGAGGUGCUGGGGGGCAGCCCUGCCCACGGCACGGGAUGGGACUGGGUGGGCAUUAAGGUCCCUUUCAACCCAAACCAUUCUGUGCUUCUGUGCCCCUAAAAGCCGAGGCGUGCCCUCCGGACAAGGCCUUUCAGCAUCCCGUCUCAGCUAACCGCGCGACGGCGGAGAGCUGAGAAGCCGCGGCCCCGCCGCUGCGGGCACGACUCCGCCCUCCCCCUCUCCGCAGCUUCACGCUCCCGCGCC